rnacentral:rRNA from 1 species
AACGAACGCUGGCGGCAUGCCUAACACAUGCAAGUCGAACGAGACCUUCGGGUCUAGUGGCGCACGGGUGCGUAACGCGUGGGAACCUGCCCUUAGGUUCGGAAUAACUCCCCGAAAGGGGUGCUAAUACCGGAUAAUGUCUUCGGACCAAAGAUUUAUCGCCUUUGGAUGGGCCCGCGUUGGAUUAGCUAGUUGGUAGGGUAAAAGCCUACCAAGGCGACGAUCCAUAGCUGGUCUGAGAGGAUGAUCAGCCACACUGGGACUGAGACACGGCCCAGACUCCUACGGGAGGCAGCAGUGGGGAAUAUUGGACAAGGGGCGAAAGCCUGAUCCAGCAAUGCCGCGUGAGUGAUGAAGGCCUUAGAGUUGUAAAGCUCUUUUACCCGGGAUGAUAAUGACAGUACCGGGAGAAUAAGCUCCGGCUAACUCCGUG